rnacentral:rRNA from 1 species
UACGUAGGGUGCAAGCGUUGUCCGGAAUUAUUGGGCGUAAAGAGCUCGUAGGCGGUCUGUCGCGUCGGAUGUGAAAAUCCAGGGCUCAACCCUGGACCUGCAUUCGAUACGGGCAGACUAGAGUUCGGUAGGGGAGACUGGAAUUCCUGGUGUAGCGGUGAAAUGCGCAGAUAUCAGGAGGAACACCGGUGGCGAAGGCGGGUCUCUGGGAACAACUGACGCUGAAGGAACGAAGCGUGGUAGCAAACAGG